AUUAUGACAGGCAUGAUAAGUAAACAUGCAUACCCAACGAGUGCGACAAUGGAACAUAUCAAUAAAUCAAGAUAUUUAUCCCACUCUAUUUUAUCAAAUUGAAAAUUGUGUUUUCUGAACAACUUCUCCAAGUGGUCCUAAGCAUCUCUCGCAAAAUUACCAAUGGUUACAUGAAGCCAACCAGCAUAACUCCAAUGACACUGCACCGCUGCACUGAUAAUGGAUUUUGAAGAUUUUAAUGAUGUCAGCAAAUAAACAAACAUCAAACUCAUCCAGUCACCAUUAAAAUUUGACAGCUCACAUGUAUGCCAACUACUACCUCAUUUUCUUUCUUCCUUUCCUUUUCUGCCCGCUUAUGGGCCAAUACCACGAACCUUGAGAGGCAAUCUGUGGGCAAUUGUUGUAACCAGGGAUUGAUAGCCGUAAAAGAAAAUGCUGCUGCUUUCUGUGGCCAUGUCAAUGAAACUAAAUCUGAAGGAAAAGAAUUUUGGUCUAUAAUUCCUUUUGUGUGUUAUCUCCAGCUGCAGAACGGGCUGCCUGGAUUUGAAUGUUGCAUUGUCUUUGCAUAUCUUUAAGCUUUUCCAGUAGUUCCUGGAAUGUUGGACGGCACUGAGGAUCACUGGUUUCAGCAAAAGUUACAGAUUCACUGUUAGCAACCUUUAUCAAUUUGAAAAUACUUUUUAAGUAGUAGACCACCAUAAAAAGAAAGAGACAGAUAAAACAAUUAAUUUCAACUUUGAAUAUAAUUAUGUCUCAAUCAGUACCUAUACUGACCUAAUCUAUGCAUUCCUUUCAACCCUUACCACUAAAAUGAAAUUCACAAAAUUAACCUCAAAUAUCUCUCAACAGAAAGAAAUAUCUCCGUGGCCAAGGUCAACCUCUGCAAAUGGUCUACGUCCUAACAUGGGUUAGAUGAAUCUUCCAUAUAGCUACUUCCAUUUAGCAAUAUCUGGACCAUAACUCAUAUUUUGUUUGCACCCAUUACAAUGAUUCAGAAAAAUCUUCACGUGCCAAUGUCAGGUAGGAAUAAAGUAAAGGAAAAGCAAGAGAGAAAAGGAGUUAGACAUCAAAUAAUAUGAAAACAACACAACCAUAGCCCAAAAAUAUUGUGCAUAUGUACCUCAAUUAAUUUAUCGUAGUGGAUGUCUAAUAAGCAUCCUGAACACCCAUUAAGCACUUUUUAUAACUAGGGUGUCUUCGUCAAUACUUUAAGUCGAUCUGAUACUCUAGAAAAUGCAAACAAAAGCAAGUAACCAUUGUGAAGAGAGUAAGCACCUGUGCCAGCAACUCUCAAUUAUAGAAGCCCACUGUGGAUCCACAUCUUUGGGGAUCUCUAACCGCUGAUUCAUGAACCCUACAGCUCCAAUCACCUGUAAGUAGUAAACAAACUAUUGCUAAUAUAUGUAGUAAGCGAUAUCACCUUUUGUUUAAAGAAAUUGACAAAUAGGAAAUCAAUUGUAGUAUUCACUUCAGUUUUUGCCACAAAAGCAGUCUCCUCUCAAAAUACUGAAAGACUAUGUUUGAUCACAAUAGUUGGUUUUCUAAUUUCCUAAAAAAAUAUCAUCAGAAACAGCUCAAAUGAAAAUUAUACCUGCAUCGAGUUGAGAUUAUCCCAGGGAAUCUUCUCAGUUGCAAGUUCCCAU
rnacentral:misc_RNA from 1 species